CCUACGGGAGGCAGCAGUGGGGGAUAUUGCACAAUGGGGGGAACCCUGAUGCAGCGACGCAGCGUGGGUGAAGAAGCGCCUCGGCGCGUAAAGCCCUGUCAGCAGGGAAGAAAAUGACGGUACCUGAAGAAGAAGCCCCGGCUAACUACGUGCCAGCAGCCGCGGGAAUACGUAGGGGGCAAGCGUUAUCCGGAAUUACUGGGGGGAAAGGGGGCGGAGACGGCUGUGCGAGCAAGGAGUGAAAGCCCGGGGCCCAACCCCGGGACUGCUCUUGGAACUGCGUGGCGGGAGUGCAGGAGGGGCAGGCGGAAUUCCUUGUGUAGCGGUGAAAUGCGUAGAUAUCAGGAGGAACACCGGUGGCGAAGGCGGCCUGCUGGACUGCAACUGACGUUGAGGCCCGAAAGCGUGGGGAGCAAACAGGAUUAGAUACCCUGGUAGUC
rnacentral:rRNA from 1 species